rnacentral:tRNA from 2 species
GGGCGUAUAGCUCAGUUGGUUAGAGCGUUACGUUGACAUCGUAAAGGCCUCCUGUUCGAGUCAGGAUACGCCCACCA